AGGCCUAACACAUGCAAGUCGAGCGGUAGCACAGAGAGCUUGCUCUCGGGUGACGAGCGGCGGACGGGUGAGUAAUGUCUGGGAAACUGCCUGAUGGAGGGGGAUAACUACUGGAAACGGUAGCUAAUACCGCAUAACGUCGCAAGACCAAAGUGGGGGACCUUCGGGCCUCAUGCCAUCAGAUGUGCCCAGAUGGGAUUAGCUAGUAGGUGGGGUAACGGCUCACCUAGGCGACGAUCCCUAGCUGGUCUGAGAGGAUGACCAGCCACACUGGAACUGAGACACGGUC
rnacentral:rRNA from 1 species